CGCCGUCCGCGUGACUGGCGAUCACAGGGAGCACCCUGAGGGAGCGCGGACGUCAUGAGCCGUUCGCCUGGGCGCCCCAC
rnacentral:ncRNA from 17 species